rnacentral:sRNA from 1 species
GCCCGAGUCGAUCUGCUGGUGACCAUUGGAAACCGCGAUCGAGUAGAACUCGCC